GGCAGGGGCUCCCCGCAGGAAGAUGUCUUGAAGUAAAGAGAGCCUGGUCUGUCCAGACAAAGGUGACACACUUCUGACUGGAAGUGAGUUUGGCCCUAAUGUGAAGCUCUUCACAAGUCCUGUGUAAGGCAGAGAGACAGCAAGAGCAGGAGAUACUGCUCGGUGUUUAUCCUGAAAACGUCUGAGGAAGAAGGAAUCUGCUAAAACAUGUACGUGAGCCUCGGGACUUGUGUUUGUAUGCACCACCUAUUUUUCUGCAUUAAGAAGUUAAGAAAUGUUAACAGUUACAGUUUUGAUUACACAUUAAAAUUUUCUCAAAAACCCCCAACUGGGUCUGUUUUUGUCAUUACUUUGCAUUAAGGGAUUAUUUUCCAUUACACAAGACAUUUUUUACAAACAUGCUGAGCCACUCCUAUAAUUUGCUAUAAUAUGAUAAAAAUCAUAUACACUGCAGUGUAAUUACUGUAGAGAAUGUAAACAGGUUUUAUUUGUGUAAGCAUUCUGUGUGGCAUUGGGUCAUUUACUUGCUUAAACAGUUUAAAGAGGUGAUACUGCUGCUUUAAUUACUGGAGAGAUGAGGCCUUAAAUACCCCUAACAGCAAGAAGAGCAAAUGCAACUAUUCCUGUAUCUUGUUCCAAGCUUGCUAUUUCUUCAUUAUUUUGGCCUCAACCUGUCUUAAAGUCUGCUACAGUGGUAGCAGAAUGGGUUCCUGCAGCAAUAGCAUUCUAGGCAGUAUUCUGCAUUUCUUCUAAAUAAUGGUCCAAAUGUGCAAAUCUAGAACUAAAUGUGGAGAAAGGGAGGAGAGACUCUGUAAUUUGUUCUUCAGCGUCACUAGCAAAAUGAAAAGGGUGCUUUUGUGAUAAUGAUUCAUUCUAAGAUUGGUCUAGAAUGGAGGUUGAUUAAAAAAGUUUUGGGGUAGACUUGGCGACUUAAGGUGCUUAAAUGAGAAAAACGGCAUCUGAGACUGAAACUCCCAAUUAGACUCACUAAGUCAAUGUAACUGAUGGGCUAUUACACUUAAGUGCUAUUUUUAUAUUUAUAGGAGAGGCGUGGAAUGUAAGAGUUUUCAUCAAAAUGAGUGAUUGAGGGUGUCCACUGAGACAGACUUAACAAUGCAGAUGUUGCUGAACGUUUUGCCCACUUGGUGUCACCAAGUGAAAGAUUUUAGUAUAGUCUUUAGAGUAUGCUUUUUGAAAAAGGUAAACAUUAAUAUAAACUAAUUCCUUGUGAGUGCGUGCUCAUUCUGUGCCAACAAGAGCCGAAGUAAUGUUAACUAGCUCCAAGUAGAAGAUCCUUUGGUACUCUGAAAGUGAUGAAACUUUUACCCAAUUGGAAAUUUUGCUGGAGGGGGUGUGGCUAGGGAAAGGCCAGUCAGGACAGCCAACAAAACAGUUGAAAAUGGGAGUUUGUCAUGAGUGAUAUUCUUACUGUAGUAAUUUAGAUGAACAGUUCUUGGUUUUCAUAAAAUAAAAAGCAGGAUAGAGCUUUACCCAGUGGUUUGUAGUCCAGAAAACCCCUCUCACAGUGCAAGCUUGCUUAUUUUUGUGAUGGGUCAUAUGAAAAAGGAGUGGUGAGUGGAACAUAAAUGUUAUUUCAGUCCUGGGUUACAGACUUCAGGGACUGUCUCAGCUGUGACUGCACUUCCCUGUGUAGUUUAGGUAAAGACCUGAAUCCGUUUUCUUGACUGUUAAAUCUCCUGACUGAUAACCUGGAAGAAAAGAUGAUGCUAUGGCUUGUUGCUGCUCAUCUGGCAUCCCAGGGCAGUGUCCUUGUCCCUCCAGUGGCACGGGUGAGCCAGGCUGACUGAUGGCUGUGGAACUACUACGUGUGUCUGCUUGGAACAUAAAUUGUAUGAAAUGUGGGAUUUCACAGAGGUUUCUCAUUCAAAAGUCAGUUCUGUAAUUACGGAAGAAUGGGUUUGAUGUUUUUCAGAGAAAUGUUAAAAAGCAAUAGUGUCUGAUACUAUAAUGUACAGGUAAAUUAAUUGGGAUUUUUCCUAGGAACAUUACUGUGAAACGUGCAGGGUUUAAUAUAAACAUUGAAUUUGGGUAAUGGAGUAUGCAAAACUUGUUUGGAGCUAAUUCCUUUCUAUCUGAAUUGUAUUUGAGCAGUGUGAGCAGGUUGCUCCAAUGUUUAUUUUAAUUAAAAUUUUAGAGUUACA